rnacentral:rRNA from 1 species
GCCAGACUCCUACGGGAGGCAGCAGUGGGGAAUAUUGCACAAUGGGCGCAAGCCUGAUGCAGCCAUGCCGCGUGUAUGAAGAAGGCCUUCGGGUUGUAAAGUACUUUCAGCGGGGAGGAAGGUGUUGAGGUUAAUAACCUCAGCAAUUGACGUUACCCGCAGAAGAAGCACCGGCUAACUCCGUGCCAGCAGCCGCGGCAAUACGGAGGGUGCAAGCGUUAAUCGGAAUUACUGGGCGUAAAGCGCACGCAGGCGGUCUGUCAAGUCGGAUGUGAAAUCCCCGGGCUCAACCUGGGAACUGCAUUCGAAACUGGCAGGCUGGAGUCUUGUAGAGGGGGGUAGAAUUCCAGGUGUAGCGGUGAAAUGCGUAGAGAUCUGGAGGAAUACCGGUGGCGAAGGCAGCCUCCUGGGACGCAACUGACGCUCAUACACGAAAGCGUGGGGAGCAAACAGGAUUAGAUACCCCGGUAAG